rnacentral:rRNA from 1 species
UACAGAGGGUGCAAGCGUUGUUCGGAAUUAUUGGGCGUAAAGGGCGUGUAGGUGGUUUCGUAAGUCUGGCGUGAAAUUUCUCGGCUUAACCGAGGCAGGUCGUCGGAUACUGCGGAACUAGAGGACGGUAGAGGCGUGUGGAAUUCCGGGUGUAGUGGUGAAAUGCGUAGAGAUCCGGAGGAACACCAGUGGCGAAGGCGACACGCUGGGCCGUACCUGACACUGAUGCGCGACAGCAUGGGGAGCAAACAGG